ACAUACGGCCAUAGAUGGAAGAAUACACGGGAUCCCGUCUGCUCUCCCAUAGUUAACCUUUCAAUCGCCUAGCUAGUACUGCGGUGGGUGACCACGCAGGAAUCCUUGGUGCUGUAUGU
rnacentral:rRNA from 1 species